rnacentral:rRNA from 1 species
AGUGAACGCUGGCGGCAGGCCUAAUACAUGCAAGUCGAACGGCAGCACAGCAGAGCUUGCUCUGUGGGUGGCGAGUGGCGGACGGGUGAGGAAUACAUGGGAAUCUGCCCAGUCGUGGGGGAUAACGUAUGGAAACGUACGCUAAUACCGCAUGCGCCCUAAGGGGGAAAGCCGGGGACCGCAAGGCCUGGCGCGAUUGGAUGAGCCCAUGUUCGAUUAGCUAGUUGGCGGGGUAAAGGCCCACCAAGGCGACGAUCGAUAGCUGGUCUGAGAGGAUGAUCAGCCACACUGGAACUGAGACACGGUCCAGACUCCUACGGGAGGCAGCAGUAGGGAAUAUUGGACAAUGGGGGCAACCCUGAUCCAGCCAUGCCGCGUGAGUGAAGAAGGCCCUCGGGUUGUAAAGCUCUUUUGUCCGGAAGAAAAGCAAUCGGUUAAUACCCGGUUGUCCUGACGGUACCGG